GAUGAACGCUAGCUACAGGCUUAACACAUGCAAGCCGAGGGGCAGCGGGAUUGAAGCUUGCUUCAAUUGCCGGCGACCGGCGCACGGGUGAGUAACGCGUAUCCAACCUUCCGUACACUCAGGGAUAGCCUUUCGAAAGAAAGAUUAAUACCUGAUGGUAUGAUGAGAUUGCAUGAUAUCAUCAUUAAAGAUUUAUCGGUGUACGAUGGGGAUGCGUUCCAUUAGGUAGUAGGCGGGGUAACGGCCCACCUAGCCAACGAUGGAUAGGGGUUCUGAGAGGAAGGUCCCCCACAUGGGAACUGAGACACGGUCCAAACGCCUACGGGAGGCAGCAGUGAGGAAGAUUGGGCAAUGGACGAGAGUCUGAACCAGCCAAGUAGCGUGAAGGAUGAAGGUCCUACGGAUUGUAAACUUCUUUUAUAAGGGAAUAAACCCUCCCACGUGUGGGAGCUUGUAUGUACCUUAUGAAUAAGCAUCGGCUAACUCCGUG
rnacentral:rRNA from 1 species